rnacentral:lncRNA from 1 species
AGAGCGGAGGACAGCCAGCCCCAGAGCUGACAGUGCGGCGCCGAGGGCAGCGGGAGGGAAGGGGAUGAGCACGUAGUAGUUAUAUUCCUUUUCUUUUUCUUUUUUUGCGUUUCCUCUUCGUGGGAGAAGCCUGAGGCAGCCGGGGAGAGGGUCCCCAGAUCCCCCUGCAGGGAGAGGGCCGCACCCUCCUCCCUCCUGGGAGGAGCAGCUGGCAGUGGGGUGCCUGGACUGGGUGCUCAGACGUAAUACUCUUUGUCUUUGUUCUUCUUGGCCUUGCUUGGCGUCUUGGGGGCAGCAGGGGCCUUCUCCUUCACCACCGCCCCAUUGCUCUGGGCCGAGUUACUGAUGUAAUUCCGGCUCUGGUCCACCUGGUAGGAGCCCUCGUCGCGGUUGCGGUACUUGUACAUGGCGUAGAGGAGAAUGAGGAUGCAGAGCGCCGCCGCCGCCACGAUGCCCACCACCAUGCCCGUGGUGCUGCUGGAUUCGCGGAUCACCUCCACUGCACCUGGCGGGCCGCGCUCCCCCGGACCCGUGGGGUUGGCUGUGGGCAGACGGGGGAAACCGGGGGCUGAGGUCACGCCGGGGCGCAGGGGAGGCGGCCGCCGCGGCUCGAAGGCCGUGGGGACCCCAGGCCCCAGGGGUGGGUUCUCCAGCAGCGGCUGCAGUGGGUCUCGGUGGUUCAUUUUGCCCGCGGGCAGGUUGGGGGCUGGGGCGGAGGGCGCAAAUAGCACCCCGGGGGCGCCCGUGGCCCCAUCUGUCCUGAGGUUGGGUCGGGGCUUGCGGGGCGACAGGAGGGUGGUGCGGUCCGUGACCAAGGGGAAAGUAGUGUAAAAGUCCUCGUCGUCCGUGGGGGGGAGGCUGGAGUCAAAGACCUCCCCGGAGGCGAAGCCCGAGGCUUCCACGGGCUCCUCGCAGUCGCUGUCGUCGCGCUCGGCCUGACACGGGCCCCCCGAGGACGGGCGGCGCGCGGCGGGCGGAGGCAGGGUGUCUUGGGUGGCACCCACGCCCGUGAGAAAGGGGUAGAAGGUGGGGGGUGGGGGCACGAAGGGGGAUCGGGUGGCCACGGGAGGAGGGUCUAAGGAGUCCUCCGUGAUAAUGGGCAAUAUUAACUCUCCUCCUAGGAAAAGAAAGAGAAGAGAGAAGAGAGGGCGUCAGCGAGGGCCAGGGCGCGGGCGGCCGGCACAGAGAGAGAAACAACAGCCUCACACCCAAAUCGGUUCAAUUGGCUUUGGCGGAGACUACGCGGGCCGGGCCCGCCCGCCAGCCGGCCAGCGCCUGCGCUUUAAGCGGGCUGCGGCUCGGAUGCCCUGGGCACCCCACGCGCGGGCUCUGUGACUUUGGGUUUUGGUCUUUUUGUUUCGUCUUAAGAAACCAAACGGAACAGAAAGGAAAGGAAAUUGAAAAGAAACGGAAUUUUUUUUUUUUCUACUGGUUUAAGGCUUUAAAAACAUACAACAGCAGCAUUUAAACAAACCUAACAACAAUAUCUUUUAGGGUUUUUUUUAUAUAUAUUUCUUUUUGCUUUUUUUUUUUUUUGCUUUUGUUUUUAAAAAAGAAGAUAGCAUACCACGGAAUUCAGGCAACUUACAUCAACAAAUAGGCCGUGUGAUUUUAGCAUGAAGAAAAAAAUUACAAACAGAGCUGUGUAAGCGGGUUCUCCCGAAAAAAAAUAAGAAAAAACAACUUUUCC